GCCCGGGUGGCGGAAUUGGUAGACGCGCACGACUCAAAAUCGUGUGGGGUAAACCCAUGAGAGUUCGAUUCUCUCCUCGGGCACAA
rnacentral:tRNA from 1 species